AUUGAACGCUGGCGGCAUGCCUUACACAUGCAAGUCGAACGGCAGCACGGGAGCAAUCCUGGUGGCGAGUGGCGAACGGGUGAGUAAUAUAUCGGAACGUGCCCAGUCGUGGGGGAUAACGCAGCGAAAGCUGUGCUAAUACCGCAUACGAUCUAUGGAUGAAAGCGGGGGACCGCAAGGCCUCGCGCGAUUGGAGCGGCCGAUAUCAGAUUAGCUAGUUGGUGGGGUAAAGGCCCACCAAGGCGACGACCUGUAGCUGGUCUGAGAGGACGACCAGCCACACUGGAACUGAGACACGGUCCAGACUCAUACGGGAGGCAGCAGUGGGGAAUGUUGGACAAUGGGCGCAAGCCUGAUCCAGCAAUGCCGCGUGCAGGAUGAAGGCCUUCGGGUUGUAAACUGCUUUUGUACGGAACGAAACGGUGAGCUUUAAUACAGUUUGCUAAUGACGGUACCGUAAGAAUAAGCACCGGCUAACUACGUGCCAGCCGCCGCAGUAA
rnacentral:rRNA from 1 species